UGGGGAAUCUUGGACAAUGGGGGCAACCCUGAUCCAGCCAUGCCGCGUGAGUGAUGAAGGCCUUAGGGUCGUAAAGCUCUUUCGCCUGUGAAGAUAAUGACGGUAGCAGGUAAAGAAACCCCGGCUAACUCCGUGCCAGCAGCCGCGGUAAUACGGAGGGGGUUAGCGUUGUUCGGAAUUACUGGGCGUAAAGCGCACGUAGGCGGACCAGAAAGUUGGGGGUGAAAUCCCGGGGGCUCAACCCCGGAACUGCCUCCAAAACUAUUGGUCUAGAGUUCGAGAGAGGCGAGUGGAAUACCGAGUGUAGAGGUGAAAUUCGUAGAUAUUCGGUGGAACACCAGUGGCGAAGGCAGACUCGCUGGUCCGGUACUGACGCUGAGGUGCGAAAGCGUGGGGAAGCAAACGAGGAUUAGAUACCCUGGUAGUCCACGCCGUAAACGAUGUGUGCUAGCCGUUGGGGCACUUGUGUCGCAGUGGCGCCGCUAACGCAUUAAGCACACCGCC
rnacentral:rRNA from 1 species